rnacentral:misc_RNA from 1 species
GAUGAAGAACGUAGCGAAAUGUGAUAAGUAGUGUGAAUUGCAGAAUUCAGUGAAUCAUCGAAUCUUUGAACGCACAUUGCGCCCCUUGGUAUCCCGAGGGGCAUGCCUGUUCGAGCGUCAUUUCACCACUCAAGCCUGGCUUGGUGUUGGGCGACGUCCUCUUUGGGGACGCGCCUCGAAACGCUCGGCGGCGUGGCACCGGCUUUAAGCGUAGCAGAAUCUUUCGCUUUGGAAGUCGGGGCCCCGUCUGCCGGAAGACCUGCUCGCAAGGUUGACCUCGGAUCAGGCAGGGAUACCCGCUGAACUUAAGCAUAUCAAUAAGCGGAGGA